UUUGCACUUCUGAGUCAGGAAACCAAAAGCUCGCAAGAGGACGUGCCAGCAGACACAGCUGGGCCUGCGAGCUCAGCGCCUUCCAGAGCAGAAUACCGCUCUCAGCAUAUUGAGAGAGGGGCUCUUUCUCAGGACGCAAAGGAGACAAGGAGGCUGGGAGGAGAGAAAUGCUUUCUGCGUUCCGAAACGGCAUCUGGGGGGGGGGGAGGGGGAGUUCAACCCCCUCUCCACCCCCUACACCUGAUGUUCUGAGGUGUUUCAGAGCUGCACCACCAGAAGUCUUGUCAGCCCCCCGGAUAUCUGAAAGGCCGCAUCCUUCCCUGCAAGUUAAAAGGGUGGGCAAAUUUAUCAUUUUCCACUUCUCUCAGUUCCUCAUUUUUCCCACCUUAAGUUCUGUUUUCUGCAUUUCCAAAAAAGCUUGCCAUUUUUUUAUUUACAUAUAUUUUUAAAAGUCCUCAAGAGAAUUUCGUCAGCAUCAUAGUGCAAAUUUCUCCUGAUAAACAGUGGUACCUCAGGUUACAGCGCUUCAGGUUACAGACUCCGCUAACCCAGAAAUAGUACCUUGGGUUAAGAACUUUGCUUCAGGAUGAGAACAGAAAUCGUGCGGUGGGGGCGCUGCAGCAGCGGGAGGCCCCAUUAGCUAAAGUGGUGCUUCAGGUUAAGAACAGUUUCAGGUUAAGAACGGACUUCCAGAACGAAUUAAGUUCUUAACCCAAGGUACCACUGUACACAAUUUUUGUAUGCAAUUUUCCUUAAUACGCACAUUAUUGCAAAGAUGUUUCCCCAAAGAUAACGCAUGUUCGUAUACAAUUUUCACAAAAAUAAGCACUUUUAUGGACUCUUGACCCCAAUAUAUGCAUUUUCGGUCUCCUUUCUUGGCCGGAGAACUGCAUUGCAAAAUCUGGGGAAGUGUGAAUUUUGGAAGAUGGUUCUGUGUUCCAGUUCUCAUCUUGUUCUAAAAAGAAUUAGGUCGGCUCACCUUUAAAUGUGAACUGAAUCCAAUCUCUCCUCCAUCCCUGCUACAGGCCUUUUUUGAGCACUGAGAUAAGCAGAGUGGCCUGGUACAAUGGAUGCUUGGGUUGCGAACGUGAUCCGUGCGGGAUGCACGUUCGCAACCCACAGUGUUUGCAACCAGCAGCGGUGCGUCUGCACACGCGCGGGUUGCGAUUCGACACUUCUGAGCAUGCACAAAGCACAAUUUAGUGCUUUUGCGCAUGCACGACCGUGAAACCCGGAAGUAACCUGUUCCAGUACUUCCGGGUUUUGGCGGUCCGUAACCUGAAAAAACACAACCUGAAGCGUCUACAACCCGAGGUAUGACUGUACUUCUGCUGCCUUCAGAGGCUUGGCUGCUGGUGGCCCGGACAAGGGCAUUCUCUGGGGCAGUACCCAGAUUCUGGAAAGCCUUCCCUAGAGUGGUGUGUUGGGCUCCUUCACGGCAGAGCUUUCCAUCAUAUGCUUUGAAACAUUUUUAGGACUCAGGACUUGUAGCUGUAAAUUAUUUAAAUUGAUUUUAAUAUUGCAUUUUUAUAUCAUUGUAAUCUGGCCUCGGACCUUAUGAUGAAGAGUGGGUUAGAUAUUUGAUGAUGAUAAUAUCCAUCAAUCCAUGCAAGGGGACACACCAAACCUGAGGGGCCAACACAGAGAAGGUCCUUGCUCCUGCCCUAGUGAGGUAAUCCCAAGAAGGGCCUCUUACUGCUGUCAUCCAGCUGACAAAUUGACGCAGGAGAGCUGAGCUGAGCUUAUUUUUCUCUUCCCAUUAAGCGUUCCUUGAGAAAAGGUCAGCCACUUGGAAGCGGCUUCCAAGCUUUAACAGAUACAAGGCACUAAUCCCUUGUCUAAUUUUCCAUCUAGGUAGCUGCUGCUGGAUCUUUCCUAUUAUGAUGAUUAUUUAAUCCAGCCUGGAACCAGGCCUUCUUCACCCACAUGCUGGUCGGGGAAAAAAAAGCAGCCAGCACAAUUUAUCUUCAGCCAAACAAACUCAAAUCCAGCUGGGAGGCAUCAAAUCUGUCAAUGCCGAUAAGUUAUUAAUAACGGUGAAUGAUGACCGGAG